rnacentral:rRNA from 1 species
UGGGGAAUAUUGCGCAAUGGGGGAAACCCUGACGCAGCGACGCCGCGUGGAGGAUGAAGGUCUUCGGGUUGUAAACUCCUUUUCUCAGGGAAAAUAGUGAUGGUACCUGAGGAAUAAGCCACGGCUAACUCUGUGCCAGCAGCCGCGGUAAGACAGAGGUGGCAAGCGUUGUUCGGAAUUACUGGGCUUAAAGGGCGAGUAGGCGGUAGGGCAAGUCUGAGGUGGAAUCUUAGGGCUUAACCCUAAAAUUGCCUCGGAAACUGUUUUACUUGAGUCAGUGAGGGGAGGGCGGAAUUCCUGGUGUAGCGGUGAAAUGCGUAGAUAUCAGGAGGAAGGCCUGUGGCGAAGGCGGCCCUCUGGCACUGAACUGACGCUGAGGCGCGAAAGCGUGGGUAGCAAA